rnacentral:rRNA from 1 species
UGGGGAAUAUUGCACAAUGGGGGAAACCCGUGAUGCAGCGACGCCGCGUGGGCGAGGAAGUACCUCGGUAUGUAAAGCCCUAUCAGCAGGGAAGAAACAAGACAGUACCUGACUAAGAAGCCCCGGCUAACUACGUGCC